rnacentral:rRNA from 1 species
UACGUAGGUGGCAAGCGUUGUCCGGAUUUACUGGGCGUAAAGGAUGCGUAGGCGGACAUUUAAGUCAGAUGUGAAAUACCCGAGCUCAACUUGGGUGCUGCAUUUGAAACUGGGUGUCUAGAGUGCAGGAGAGGAAAGCGGAAUUCCUAGUGUAGCGGUGAAAUGCGUAGAGAUUAGGAAGAACACCAGUGGCGAAGGCGGCUUUCUGGACUGUAACUGACGCUGAGGCAUGAAAGCGUGGGGAGCAAACAGG